rnacentral:lncRNA from 1 species
UUCUGUACAAAAUCAUAUUGGUAUCUGUUGGUCCAUUGGAGAGAGUCAGGAGCUGUGGAUUGCAAGGCAGGAGACUCUAAUGCUAACUGGCAGUGUUGUUGUGGGUGAGUUAGUUAAUCUUCAUAGACUCCAUUUGCCUUGUACAAUUAGGGCUUUGGCUAUUUAAUUGCUUCCAACAUCAUCCUGUGAUUCUGUGAUUCUUUGUCAAAAAGUGGUUCCAAGAAUGAAAACCUCCACACUAAGAGACUGACUAGGAUGAACUUCAUUCUUGUCUAGUCCUGUGUGUCUCACACUGGAAUUGGACAUCUCAAGCAUUCAGCAGAAAUUGACAGAAUAGUGUAAAUCAACAAUACUGAAAAAUUAAAAAAAAAAAUUAAAAAGCCAAGUGCUGUCCUUUCCACUGCACUCCCUGCAGCCCCAAAUCUGACAGGCACGCACUGGGAACCAAUGAUACAUCAGGCCCUCUGCCUGAUGCUAGAAAAGUGAGAAAGAAAAAGGCAUUAUCCUAAUAAGGAAGACACAUAGCAUUUACAUCGUGUUCAAUCUAAGAGAGCACAAAGGAAAACUACUGAACAUUCCUUGUAAGGUCUGGUAACUUUCCGCACAAGUGUCUUCGGGGACAUUUUAAAGGCUGUCAAAGAAUUGGUAUGGUGAAUAAAGUGAUGAGAGAUUGGGAGAAGUUCCCAGGCAUAGGGAACAAGAUCUGUGAAGAUACAGAAGUAUGAGAAAGCUCAGUGCAUUCAGAGGAUGGAAAUGAUUUCAUUAUCAUGGCAGUGAAAUUGAGCCCAUUGCCUGAGAGGCUCCACUGUCAGAUGGUCUAUGUUCCAGUACCAGUCCUGUCACCUGUUUAGGUGAUAUGCUGGGCAAAUUAUUUAACCUCCCUGCUUCACGUUCUUCAUCUGUAAACUGAGUAUGAUAAGAUUGUUCCUGACUCUUUUUAUAAUAUUAAGCAGAAGGGAUUAGUGAGUAAACAGAGGAGAAAGUGAAGAGAGAGACUGAGAUCUGAUCACAAGGAAAGGCUGUUUUACAUAUAUUUUACCUAAAAGGGUCUCUUAGGUAAUGCUGAUGAGAGGUUAUUAAGGAUUCACGCUGGAGAGUCGGGUGGUGAUUUUCAUAGAAUUGUGAAAGGUCAAUGAGGAAAAGGGGAAACUGGAGGAAGAGAGUCAUCUUUUGGGGGGGAAAAAAACUGAGCUGUGGAAUAUGUCAGCAUUCAGGUUCAGGUAACUGAGUGACCUGCGGCCGUUCACACCGGAAGAGGCGUGGCUGGUCAUUGGGAAAUGUGAUGAAUUCAGUUUUGGUGAGUUGUAACUGUCACUGGGGCAUCAGUUGGAGAUGCCUAAUGAGUGCUUGGAUGUAGAAGAACAUCUCAGAGAAAAGUCUGGAGUCAUGCUGUCCAACAGAAACCUAAUGGGAGCCUCAAAUGCAAAUUCUCUGGUAGCCACUCAGAACAGAAAGGGUGAAGAGACAGAUGAGUUCAUUUUAUUAUGCAUUUUACUAAACACAAUAGAUCUAAAGCCUUAGUUCACUUUGUAAUCAGUACAGAAUUAUUAACAAGACAUACUGUUUUUUUUUUUUUUUUUUUUCUUGCUAUGUCCCAGGCUCUCUGUGUUCUUGACACCCAGCAUAUCUGAGGCUACAUUUCAACUGCUCGACAGUCAUAUGUCGGUCAGGGAUUACCCUAGAAUAGAGUGCGUUGUUAGAACACAGUAUUGAGUAGAACAAUUAAUAAUUGAAGGAUUCCAGGCACUGAGAAUUCAGUGGUAAACAUCACGGACACUUUUCCUUCAUUAACUUAGCAAUUAUUAGAGAACAGGGCUGCUGCUGGCCUGCAAGUUCUGUUGGUGCAAGUUAGACAAAGGCACAGCCUCUGGGCAGGCAGAGCCGUCCCAUUCCAGGGAUCACAGGGUGCAAGAGAGGUUCCUCUGCCCGUUCACCUCUUCUGCUAUGAACUUUGCAUGGAACAAAUAGCACCGCACCCCCAGGGGGGACUCCACAGGGAAUUCAGGCAUUUAUAAGUGGUUAAAAGAAAAGAGGCUGGUGUGGCUUCCGACUAGUAACUAUGAGGUUGUGGUUUCAAUCCCUGGCCUUGCUCAGUGGGUUAAGAAUCUGGUAUUGCCAUGAGCUGUGGUGUAGGUCACAGAUGUGGUUUGGAUCCUGAGUUGCUAUGGCUGUGGUGUAGCUCCAAUUUGACCCCUAGCCUGGAAACUUUCGUAUGCCACAGGUACCACCCUAAAAAGCAAAAAAUAAAAAUAAAAAUUAAAAAAAAAAUUCUGAGAUGUUCACCCUGCAGUAGUGACAUCUAAGCUGAGACCUGAAGGAUGACCAGGAGUAAGACCGGUGGGAAAGGUGGAGGGCAUUCCAGCAGAGACAGGGGUACAAAGCAGAGGCAAUGAGCUCAGGGUAGGUCAGGAAGUAAGAGGAGUUCAGGCCAUGCAGGGGAGAGGAGGGCUGGCAGGGCAUGAGGCUGAAGGGCUCAGGGGUUCUUCUGCCAGGUGGAGUAGGGGAGCACAGGGGACAGGCAGAAUCACUGUUUCUAAAAAUAACAGUGGUCAGCAACAAGGGGUCCGAGAAUUAGCAGUCAGAAAUACAGAGCACAACACAGGGAAGGGUCAAGUCGUAAAAGGCACCGAGAAAGAGCAAAUUCACUUCUUGGAAGGUGCCAACCAGGUGUCAAAUGCAGCGAGCAAGUCAAAGAAGGGGAGGGCUGAAUAGUGGCUGUUGAGUCAGGCAGUGGAGGCAGCACAGAGGCCCUUGGUGUGCACGAUUGUGAGAAAAAGAGUAGAAACCCCGUCAGAACAAUGGUGGCAGAACAAUGGAGCAAGAAGAGAAGAUGCUUUAAGGAAAGCCAAAAGCUGACUAUUGGGAAUCAAAUGAAGAAGAUAGUGUCCUUAGGAGAUGCAAAGUACAGUGUAGUGUGUGGGAGGGCCUUUUGCUUUUGUUUUUACCUCUAAUGGUAGGAUCCCAGCGCCUCCUUAAAAUUCAUAUUUCCAUCGUCUGCUCUCCAACAUUAUCACACCAAAGCAGAGGAAUAACCUACAGAAAAGAGUAAUUUUUUUCACUCAUUCCAUAAAUAUUCUUAAGCACAUACUUCAUGCCAGGAGCAAAGCAACAACAGUUGCAGGAGUUCUCUGGGGGUUCAGCAGGUUAAGGAUCUGGCCUGGUCACUACUGUGGUAUAGGUUUGAUCCUUGGCCCAGAAACUUUUUCUAUGCCCAGGGAGCAGCCACCACCGCCCCCGCCCCCGCCCGGCCAACCCCGCCAAAAAAAAAAAGCAACAGCUGCAACAACAAUAAAGUAGUGGAUUUAUUGAUAAUUUAUUAUGUGUCAAUUACUCAUCUCACUUUUUGACAGGCAUCAUCUCAUUUAAAUUAUCCUAAAUCGGAGUUCCCGUCGUGGCGCAGUGGUUAACGAAUCCGACUAGGAACCAUGAGGUUGCGGGUUCGGUCCCUGCCCUUGCUCAGUGGGUUAACGAUCCGGUGUUGCCCUGAGCUGUGGUGUAGGUUGCAGACGCGGCUCGGAUCCCGCGUUGCUGUGGCUCUGGUGUAGGCCGGUGGCUACAGCUCCGAUUCGACCCCUAGCCUGGGAACCUCCAUAUGCCGCUGGAGCAGCCCAAGAAAUGGCAAAAAGACAAAAAUAAAUAAAUAAAUAAAAAAUAAAUUGUCCUAAAUCUUCACUGGGCAUUUCCUACUAUUUAUCCCAUUUUAUGGAUGAGAAAAACUGAGACGCAGAGGGAAUAAGUUGCCACCCAGAGCCUAGAGUCACAGGGUUAUGCUGGUCCCACAUGUGGUCUCUAAAACACAAACUCAUAAUCACCAUGCCACUGGCUAACAGUUAGAGGCUGUCCUUUGAUCCCCUAUCACUUCUUGUUGGACCUUUGGUCAAAGCUCCUCUCUUGAAAUCCUUCCCUAGUUAACAUCAAGCAUUCCAGGAUACCGAAUUUACCUAAUAAAUGUAGCUAUCAUACCAAAUAUUUAUUAUCCUUUUUUAGCACCUGGUAGAAUAAGGAUCCUUCCGGUUCUAAAAUUUUCUCACAUUCUAUUUGUUUUUAAUCAUUUUAACGGGAGGGUCCCAUGAGGUUAGUUUCUGUCCUGGGAGGGUCUUGACUGAACCAUGGUUGGAUGGAGCAUCCUUUCUCUUGCCCCUUUCUCUUUCUAGUCUUUUCUUUCCUCUGCUUAAUUCAGAGAGUUGAUUAGAUGACCCAAGGUGCCUGGAUGGAUGCCAGUGGGUAUACACAACAUGAAGAAGGUAUCAUCACUGUCUCACAGAUACCUGCAUUCCAGAGGAUCUCAUCAGAUCAUAAGGGCUCUUUGGGAUAAUUAAUAAUUGGUCCUCACAGCACCCCUGGGAAGUACCUGGGUACACAGCAAAGAUACACAGAGAGUAAAUGAGCAUUUCUGGAGUGCAAGACAAUUUCCUCCUCAGUGAAAUGGGACAAUUACAGUGAUCCACCUUACAGGAGUGUCAAUUAUUCACAAUCUAAAAGCCCUGGGAAUUGCAAACUGCACUAGGAAUACGUACACACUGAGUGGUUGUAUUGCACUUAAUUGACAUUCUCCUUUCCCUCCCUUGCUCCCUGCAAGUCAAACCACAGUGACACCCGUGAGUGUACCUUGGGUCCUGGUUAUUGACAUGGAGCCUGCCUCUCUGCAUCAAAGAUCUGCCUGGAUCACACCAGAGGAUAGAAGAACAAACCUGCCAGGUGUUGACGGGCUAAUGACAAGCAACUUAAAUGGAAUUCUGACAAGCCUUUGCAGCCUUAUACAUAAACAUAAUUAAUCAACACAGAAUACACACUUGAUAGCUACAAGUAAAGCAGGAAGCAAAGUAUGGGGAUAAAGGGGAAAACAACAGAUUGAUAUUGUGGAUGAUGGGAAUCUCAAAGCCCACCUGAGUGGUGCCAGGCACAAGUGUGGUAUUCGCAAUAGGCUGUUAACACCUGCCUCCAAUGACCCACUCAUCUUUGGAUCCUGUUCUCCUGGGCUUUAGGUAUUUCCUCUCUCAUUCCCAUCCUCUACCCCCACCCUCUCAUUCUCAUCUUUUUGUGUGCCACUGUCCUAGCUCUGCGAUGAAUUGAAACGGUGAGCCUCAGGCAAAGAAUAGAGCCUAUAUGUUAUUUUGAUUCAAUUAAAUAUGAAACUGAGUUGCAAACACAAAACACAUCAUUUCUGCUUCACUGCUUUUCACCUUGGAAUUGCUUAUGCAUUUCAUUUUUGCCGCGUUUACCACUCGAUCCCUUCCAUUUUCUCUGUCAACCUUUCUUCCUUAUACAACUCCUUAUUUCGGGCAGCACCUCUGAUUCCACUUGUUCUUGUACAAACUCAUUCAUUUUCUUUUGAGAGGUAGUUGUAGGAGUGACUCCAGUAAAAUGAAUGUAAAUGAUAUUUCUGGAUAAAAGAGCUCUUCUGUAUUUUCCACUGACUGCCUAAAUCCCGGGCUCUGCUAAUGAUACGUGUGGCUGGGAUCUAGCCUGGAAUGAGGAGGGGAAACUGAAGAACAGAAGAGAGAGCUGAAUGAUCAUUGGAGGUGGAGUCAGAAGCACAAUAAAAAUUGGGAAAGAAACUAUCCAAAGGAGUGUCUUUCAAAAUAUAAGCUAGAUCAUUCUUUAGAACUUAAUUCUUACUAGAAAACAUACAUUUUUCUUCCAAACACAUGCAGUGACUUACUCUCCACCUGGACCCCUUUGAGACAGCAGUAAUGCUGUCAUCGCUGUGAUUUUCAGAGAAGUUGAAAUAGUUAAAACAUAUCAAUGCUUGCUAUAUAAAAGAAGGCAGAAAGAGAGUCAGGUGAAUUCAACCCAAAGGUCUUGGGACAACUGCACAAACUUCUCAUACCCACCUGACUAGUAAAGUUCCUUGUUUCUUAUUAGUUAAACGCUUGCCACGUGAUCAUACACCUGAGUCCCACCCCCUGGUUGAUUUCAGGAUGAAGGUGACUUUGACUCAAUGGCUAAGAUGGAGCCAUUUUUAUAUUUGCCUCAGGAAAAUGAGGAGUGAGGGCACACAUUUGAAUUCUAAAGCUGCAUUGAAUAAAC